rnacentral:lncRNA from 1 species
UUCUUUUCAAUGACCAAAAAUUUGGUUUCACAAUGCCCUGCUUCAUUUUAGGUUUUCCAAAUUUCUCCUCUGCUUCUCUCAUUUCUUCAGUCUUUUCAUGUUCACUGUCUUCUUCAUUGACUCUUUCAAAUUCAAGCUUCUUAAUUGUAUUUUGUGGUAAGUUUUUCUCGCUUUUUUCUUCCUUAGUUUUUUUUUUUUGCUUCAAUAUUUUUCUUGUGCAAUUACUGAUAUUUUUAGAGAAUAUAAAGACAUGAAGUUUACAGAUGUGACCAUUUUUAUUUUCACUGAUCCAUUUGUGGAAAGGAAAAUUGGAUGAAAAUGACUAUAAACAAAAUAAUAUUUAACAACCAUCCAAACAAGUUGUUGAUGAAGAUGGAGAUACUGUUGCUCAAAUUUCGACAUACAUUCAUCAUCUGAAUCAAAUUUUGAUAUUUAUUCUUUUAGGUUAUUGUUCUCUAUUGUAUUUUCUCUAUAAAUAAUAUAUGAAUGUCAAUAGUAUUUUCUGAUUUAUUCAUGCAUCUUCACGAAUAAAUACUCAAGUUUCCUUAGUGCACCAAGGGUGUUUGAUAAUAUGCCUACAUCGAGAUGGAUCUUUGAUUCAGCACUAAAGGUUGGUCAAGCUGUGAACUAAUAAUUAUUUUUCCGUUCCUCGCUUCUUAGUGAACUUUUUUGUACUGUUGAAGGGAGAGAGGUAGAAAAGAGAUAUGCGAUACAGAAAUAUCAAGACAAAUAAAUAAAUGUCUUUUUUUCCUUUUCUUAAGUGAAGGAGAAAAGGAAAAAACAUAUGAUUGUUAUUUGUGGAAUUUGAACCUUUCAAUUCCAGGUAGAGUUUAAGUUAUUCAUAAAAUGAAUUCACCCUCAACUCCCUCUAAUUCUAUAUAGAAGCAACAUUACGUGCCUCAUUAUGAAAAAUCAUUUUUUUCCCAUUUUAUCACAGCUAAACUGGAAGGACCAAAGUUAUUUUCUUGCUUCCUGGAAUAAGAAUACAAGAGGGUACUUGAAUGUUUCUCAUAAUAUCAAAUAAUUUAGAAUAAUUGAAGGAUAUUCUCUAGAUUUGGUAACAACAUUUGAUGUUGGACCUAAUUAAUGUGCGGAAUGAUAGUUAAGUUAUCCGUAUGCGGUCAUCAUCAGUUGUAUUGGGUUAUGAAUGCUAACGAUAUGAAAUAAUGCAUUUAUUGCAAAUGAUGUACCUUUACAUUUGAGUUUUAUACAUGAUCAAUGUAAAUAUUUUUUGCACUAUCAGGUUAGCAGAUUUACAUUAACCUUCUUGAUAAAAUGUGCUACCCACAUGUAAAAAUUAUUUACGUUACGUUGACAAUGUAUAUUAUUUAUUAAACUCAUAUGUUUUAUUGUGCUUUCUAUUCUGGCUUUGAAAUUUGGGGCUGAGAAAAAGGUUGGGAUGUUCAUUGUUCAACUAAUUUGAGAUAUUAGACGAUGCUAUUGAUGUAAUGAAAUUGGAAGAUGGUGUAAUUCAAAACAUGGUAAAGUCUCUGAUUUGUAUUCACAAGUUGCAAUUCUUGAUGUUUUUCAUUGUAUUGAGUUAUUUUUCAUAAUAUUGACAAUUUUGACAAAUCUACAAUGAUUUUAACUCCACUAUAUACAUACUUGGUCGCCCAUGGAAGUAGUUUGAAAAGAUAAUUCAGCAAUUAUUUGGAAACCUUUCCUCAUGUUGGGAACCAAAAUGAGGUACAAGAAGCAAUGUAAAGUGUACUUCAAAUAGAACUUGAGUUGUACGAGUAGGGUUAAAAUAGUAAAUUCACUUUAUUCACUCUCUCACCUCUGCUUCUACUCUUUCUUCACUGCCUGACAACAUUGACAACCAUUUUAAACCUUCAACGGAGUUAAACUUUACUUCAGAGUCUCACUCCAACUUCUAAAGUUCUUUCAAUUGUUUACCUGGUAAGUAUUCUUGUGUGGUAUUGGCCCUCUUCCCUUAUGAAUUUUUACUCUUUUUUUUUUCAUUAUUGUGUUUAUGCUUCCUAUUAUUCUACUGAUUUUUCUUAUUUAUAGGUCUUCCACAAUUUUUCUUGAAUUCUUUUGAGUUCUUAUAGAUGCCUCUUGAAAUACAUGCAUAAUUUUGUUUUCAAUAUUUUGCAGUUUCUAACUCUAAAAUACUAAAAAUAUUAGUAGUAUUUUCUUAUCAAUAUAUGAUACUUUUUGCAGAUAAUUAAUGGCUUGAUGCGGUUGCAUGUUUGACGAAAUUUCCCGUGAAGGUAAGACUUGUGUGUUAUGAAGAGAGAUUAGUUACAAGAGUUGAUUGUUUUGGCAGAUGAUUCAAGGUGCUAAUGAAGUUGAACGGUGGGCUUAGGUGAAUAGACAUUUUCCCUUAUAAUAUCUUUUUUCCAUAUGGCAUCUUCCCCAAAAAAAAUUGAGAAAGAAUUUGAGUUGCCGAAUUCUUUGAUGCUGCCAUGAAAUUAGAAGUGAUAAUGUAAUGCUGAAAAUUCAGGGUAAGCUUUCAGUAUUGAUCUUUUUGUUGUUUGAACUACAUUUUUGAAAAAAAUCAGCUACUAAUAUAGUAAGUUGAGGUGGUAUUCAAAGACAAAUUGUUUAAAUACAAAGUCAGAAUAACAAGCAGGUUGAAUCAGGCGAAAAGGUUGAUUUCUGGCUCUCCAAUUUCCAAGUCCUUUAAGGAACCAUUCCACAUUUUCUUAAGAACCUUUAAACUUUUGGCAAUGGACCGUGAUGUUGGUGUCGCAUUUAUUUUUAGCAGUUGUUCUUGGAUAAAAGCUGGAACUUUAAUAUUGAAAAUUCUGUUACUAGAUUGAGUUCUAGAAGUCUGUCAUAUGAUCUUAUGCUUUCUCAAAGUUUUUGUUUCAUGUGUUCAUAUUAGUUAGAUACAAUUGAUAAUGUUAAAAAUAUUUUUCAUCUGAUCAAUCCAGAAAAAAAUGAACAUAAGAAAUGUAGCAAAUAAGUAAUAAUGUUGACGCUAGAAUUUUUUUGAGAAAUGAGUGAGUAAUAAAAUGUCCGGGUAAUGGAAGAAUCCUAUAAGACUAUUAAUUUAACGCAGAAACAAACUCUUUUCUUUAAUCUUGAGUUUGUUGAUCAAGAAUAGCUACUAACUCCUAAACUUUUUUAUAUCAUACGUGAAAUAGGAGUAGUAAUUUGAGUAUGCAAUAUAAUAAUAUUGUGUUAAGAGUGCUGUCAUAUGCUUUUUAUAGAGAAAUAUCAACUUCAUGUUUUCUCUUUUAUUUGUAGCAUAAUAUUCUUUCAUCAGAAUUUUGUGUCAUGGUCAUUAAUGGGUUCCUUCUUUUGCUUAUUGCAUUUGAAGGUUUGGCAAUGAAAUAGAUGAAAAAAAUGGAGGUUUUGCUUGAUCCAAGUAUGAGCUCUAAAAUGUAUGUGUUUAUCUUUCGCAAACAUUUUUAGCUAAUUUAUUCUCACAUUCAUUUGUUUUUGAAUAUUUUUACUCUUUCCAUGUCCCUCAAUAGAAGUAAAACAAACAUUUAUUUUGUAUUUCACGAGAGACAAUUUUGUAUAUGAGAUGUAGGUGAGACGAAGAGAAGCUGACAUUUUUAGUAUGUGCUCUUUCUAUGUCCCCAAAUUAAGAAGCAUAAGGAUAGGUAGAGCAUGAGCUCUUGCAGACUAAGUUGUUGUAUUAUAUGUUAAAUGUAAUAAAAGGAUUUUCUUAGUGGUUUAUACAACAUCAAUGUAAUAUUAUGUUAUUCAAACUUAAGGUCUGAUUUGAUUGUGAACUUUGGGCGGCCCAAAGUAAGAAAUGAACUUUUUGUUUUAGAACUACCAACUUCCAUAUUUGAAUGUGUAGCAGCCAUUAAAAAGAUAUCGAUUGAGUGCUUAUAACUUUAAGGUGGAAUAGAACUACAAAAAGUUAGGGUUGAUGUUCAUAAAAUAAACAAAUGGUGAAGCUUGCCAAUUGUAAAUCAAAUAUGUACAAAUAGUUGAACUGGUCGGUACUGACAGGUACAACCUUUGGUAUUUUUAUACAUAUGUUUGGAAAACACUUGCCUAAAUUUCCAUUUUGCAAAAAUAGGAGGAUUGACAGUAAUCUCAAUUUCAAUUGGUGGAUAGUUAUGAGAGUAAAAAUUAUUAAAUGAGUUUAGAUGAUUAAUAUACAAAGUGAAAACGUGAGAGAUCUACUAUUGAGUUCUUGUCAUAUCAGAGUCAACAACUUUGUUCGAACUGAUCGUUACACGCUUGUGAACAAUUUUGUAAAAAUAACCUAAAAAAUAAAGAGUUACAAGUGACUAUACAAACUCUUACAUGGAACUCUGGUGAACAACUCAUGCCUUUGAUUUGCUUCACUAUAUUAUGUUCGAAUACCACUUGAUUGUAUGAAGAGCUCCUACUUUGUUUUACUCAAUUUAUUCUAGGAUGUGAAAGUGAGUUUGCCUUAUAUGGGUCAAUUUAUGCAUACUGAACGUCAACAUCAGUUGUGGUAUUAGGUGUAUUAAACUUUAUUGCUGAAAUAUUGUAAAGAUGUACAAUUUCUCAAAUGGGUGGAUUUGUUGAUCUCCACAACCAACUAUACAAGAAUAUUGGAAACAAAUGGAAUUGGGUAUUUCAAAACAGGGAAGUCAUAUUUGUCGCGUUGGAAAAUUCGUCGUUUUUGCUUAUUUGUUUCUGGUGUGAAGGCUGAAAACUUUAUCUAAACUAUCAUGUGUGUGUGAGAGUUUCUUACCUGAAAUUCAAUCAUCGAUUCACAUAGGAGAAGUGAAUUUUUGAUGGUUGAUAGGUAUUUUGAUAAAUAGUUGGCGGUGUAGUUCAAUAAUGAAACUAAAAUAUAAGGACACUUUAGGAGUUCUUUUAACCAUCAACUCUUUGUUUCUCAUUUCUCGCAGAAUGAUUUUUUGUUAUUCCCUGUUAAUUAAAUAGAUAAUUCCCAUGAACCUAUACGAAUUUUUGAAAUAUAGUCUUCCAAACUACUUAUUUUUGCUCCUCCAGGAGGUGAUGGAUAGAUGUGAAAAAGAAAGUUAUUGUAUGACUCAUGUUGGAUGGCAUUAUUAAUGUUACAAACGAUUGUAAAACACUUCUAAUAUUAUGCAUUGAUAUUUAUUUUUCACAAUUAUAUGUCAGGUAAAAGUGAUCUUUUGCUAUGUUCUUUUUGUUGUUUCUUGCAGGCCACAUGAAAAUAUGCCUUCGGUUUGGAUUGUGUCAGGAAUGAUACGAAUGAUAUGAUUCCCUCUGCUGAUUGUAAGACGCAUAUUCUAUUUCUCCAUUUGUAUGAGUAAAUUGUAUCAUUUCUUUGAGAUAUGAAAUUAUAAGCUAUGUAUCAAUGUUAUUUUGGACAUUUCAUAUAUAUUUAUAGGAAAUGCACUGAUGGUAGCAACAUGUGGUGCUAUAAGUUUCAUAUUUUAACUCUUUAUUGUUUUCAGAUUCAAGUGAUGAUUCAAUAUGAUGACAUUGUUGUUAAACCAGAAUUUAUCUUUUUUGGCCAAGUAGACUGGGUAUUGACAUUUUAAUUAUGUUGCCUAAUCCUAUAUUAACUUAGGCGAGAAAUAAUAAUUUUAAACUAUGGAAAGAAAUAUAAGGCUAAUUGAUAGUAGUAUUUAUUUGAUGUAUGUCUUCCCUCCAUGCUAUAAAUAUGACAUAGAAGUUUUAUGAAAGAGACAUAAUGAGAAGUGGAAAAAUGACAAAGAAAUAGAGAGAACAAGGCGAUACAUCUAAUAAAGUGGGACAAUGUCACAUUGGACAAGAAAAUAGUAGCCUUAGAAAUAAAUAGAUGAAGGAAAAAAAUAAUUUACUCACGUUAUGAAAAUAUAUUGUGGAAGUAGAGGUAAUUUUAAAAAGGGUGAUUACAAAAGUGUGGGUUCAAAAAGGUGAAUGGUAUAUAUACAACUUUACAGGGCCAUAUGAAAGUGAAAUUUGGAUAACAUAUAAGGUAUGUGGAUUCUUUUAAACUAAUUAUGUUUUGUUUCAGGUGAUGGAAGAAAAUAGCAUUGGGGCGGCAUGGCAUGACAACUGAAGAAGUCACAUACUUCUGUUUUGUAGCACCACGGACAUUUAAUGGGUAUUGUAUAAAAUUACUUCAUACCAAACAAAGAAAUCUUCUUUUAAUACAUUGUUUUAUCCGUUUCUUAUCCUGUUUCAGUUGGUUCUCUCUAUUUGAUUAGAGGUCCAAUUUAACGGUUUCUUCAACCUUUGCUUAAUUUAUUUUGUAAGUUGAAAUAUCUUACUUUCGACUAUCUAAUGCUACUUGAUGUUAUGAUUUUAUCUGUGAAUAGAUUUUUGGAGUCCAUUUAUAUAUAAUUUAGCAGCUUGUGAUGCUUCAUUUUGACAAUUGUGUCGAUCAUAUCCCCCAAAUCCACAAAAGACAUUAUGACCAACAACGGAUUGUCCAAUUAAUAUUAAAAUAAUAUAUUUUUAGGAUGUUAAUGAAAUACUUUUAACUUCCUUGCUGACUAAUUAUGAAAGAAAGGGGCAAAGUAUUAAGAAUGUAUACAGUGCUGCUUCAAUCAAGUAAGUUUUACUUUUUUGGUGA